UCCCCCUCAGGAUCGCACCUGGAGAGUUUCUAGUACUCUGCCAGUCUCAACUAUGGGAGGGAGAGUUAAGCAGAGGCAUACUCAUUCCAUUCCUAGCUUGGCCAGUGCCUAGCUAGUGGAAAGCAAUCUACUACAAAU
rfam:Ornithorhynchus anatinus chromosome 4, whole genome shotgun sequence.